AAGCAUUUGCCAAGGAUGUU
rnacentral:siRNA from 1 species